AGGAAAGGAUAAAGCCAAGAUGGCACAUUUCAGAAAACUGUUGUACAGAGGAACCUUUAACAAAACAGAGCAAAGGUGUAAGGAGUGGUGAAAAGAACACCUCUCCUCUGAAGUCUGAAACAGAGCAACAUGAAUUGAAACCAGGCAGAAGUAUACCCAGGGGAUGAAAAGGAGAUACGAUGAUUUUCCUGACCCAUCACCUUCUCGUGGUGACAUUCCCUUCCUCCUCUAAACUCCUCAAACUCUGAGACAGAUUCCUAGUGGGAAAAAGAAUUGCAUCUGCUUCUGCCUGUGGCCACUUCUCUUAUAACAGGCCUUGUGAUUUUAUUUGAAGACGGUAUUCUCAUUGAGUCUUGAGACAAUAGGCAGAUAAGGACCCAUCCAUAAUUCUUGGCUGGAACAGCUCUGUGGUCCCUCACUAAGCUGCCCUCCUGUCAGAAAUGGAGCACUCGGAUGCCUGGAAUCUAUAAAUAUAUGAGUCAAGGAGGAUAUCAGAGAUCAUGUAUU